rnacentral:misc_RNA from 1 species
GAGAUUAUUUCUUUCUUCCAUAAUUUAUACUCCAAUUGUACUAUAUAUGGGGAAAAUGAAGUUGUUAGUCUCUUGCCUAAUAUUGUGACUCUAGAGAUUAAUAUGAAGUUGAUGGCCCUUGUUCAAGAAGAUGAAAUCAAAGCAGCCGUGUUCAGUUUGGGAGGAUUGAAAUCUCUAGGACCUGAUGGAUUCCCAGGUAUUUUCUAUAAAAAAAAUUGGGAUACAGCUGGUAGGAAUUUGUGUAUAGCUGUACAAAGUUUCAUUGUCAAUGGCUUUAUGUUAAAAGAUUAGAAUAGGACAAAUAUCAUUCUCAUUCCAAAAUGUAAA